UACGUAGGGUGCAAGCGUUAUCCGGAAUUAUUGGGCGUAAAGAGCUCGUAGGCGGUUUGUCGCGUCUGCUGUGAAAACCCGAGGCUCAACCUCGGGCCUGCAGUGGGUACGGGCAGACUAGAGUGCGGUAGGGGAGAUUGGAAUUCCUGGUGUAGCGGUGGAAUGCGCAGAUAUCAGGAGGAACACCGAUGGCGAAGGCAGAUCUCUGGGCCGAUACUGACGCUGAGGAGCGAAAGCGUGGGGAGCGAACAGG
rnacentral:rRNA from 1 species